CAGGAUGAACGCUGGCGGCGUGCCUAAUACAUGCAAGUCGAGCGAAUGGAUUAAGAGCUUGCUCUUAUGAAGUUAGCGGCGGACGGGUGAGUAACACGUGGGUAACCUGCCCAUAAGACUGGGAUAACUCCGGGAAACCGGGGCUAAUACCGGAUAACAUUUUGAACNGCAUGGUUCGAAAUUGAAAGGCGGCUUCGGCUGUCACUUAUGGAUGGACCCGCGUCGCAUUAGCUAGUUGGUGAGGUAACGGCUCACCAAGGCAACGAUGCGUAGCCGACCUGAGAGGGUGAUCGGCCACACUGGGACUGAGACACGGCCCAGACUCCUACGGGAGGCAGCAGUAGGGAAUCUUCCGCAAUGGACGAAAGUCUGACGGAGCAACGCCGCGUGAGUGAUGAAGGCUUUCGGGUCGUAAAACUCUGUUGUUAGGGAAGAACAAGUGCUAGUUGAAUAAGCUGGCACCUUGACGGUACCUAACCAGAAAGCCACGGCUAACUACGUGCCAGC
rnacentral:rRNA from 1 species